rnacentral:rRNA from 1 species
UACGUAGGGGGCGAGCGUUGUCCGGAUUUAUUGGGCGUAAAGCGCACGCAGGCGGCCGUGCAAGUGGAAGGUUACAAUUCCUGGCUUAACCGGGAGAGCGCCUUCCAAACUACAUGGCUUGAGAGCGAGAGAGGGACAUGGAACUCCGGGUGGAGCAGUGAAAUGCGUAGAGAUCCGGAAGAACACCAAGGCGAAGGCAGUGUCCUGGCUCGUGUCUGACGCUCAGGUGCGAAAGCGAGGGGAGCGAACGGG